GUGAGUCUCGGUUUAAAUAAACCUGAACUUGGAAGAAUGCAAGUCAGGGUUAUCUUUCGAACGGAGGUAAGUUUUUAAAGCAACAUGAGGGUGAAACUCGCCUUAAUUCAUGGAAUGUUCAGGCUUAAGGUUAGGAUAAUAAUGUACCAGAGACAGACAUUCUGACCUGUUUAAGAGCGACUCUUGGGAAACAUUCGGCAGGUCAGGGUGAGUGGGUUAUUUUUCUUGGCCUUUCUUUAGUGCUGAGCUAUCUUUUCUUUCUUUCUUUCUUUCUUUCUUUCUUUCUUUCUUUCUUUCUUUCUUUCUUUCCUUUGGGGUGAGGUGAGACCUGAACACAUGCAGCUUAAACUUUGAAAAACUUUGCACUGAAACUUUAAAAAUGAAACAAAAAAGUGUUGCGAUACAGUGGUACCUCGGGUUAAGUACUUAAUUUGUUUCAGAGGUCCAUUCCUAACCUGAAACUGUUCUCAACCUGAAGCACCGCUUUAGCUAAUGGGGCCUCCCGCUGCUGCCGUGCCGCCAGAGCACAAUUUCUGUUCUCAUCCUGAAGCAAAGUUCUUAACCCGAGGUACUAUUUCUGGGUUCUGUAACCUGAAGCGUAUGUAACCUGAGGUACCACUGUACAUUCAUUCAAGGCACAAAGCUUGUUCCUGUGCUGUGUGCUCCUUCAAACUGGAAACAAGUCCCACUGCAUUUCUGGGGGCUUACUCUCCAAGUAAGUGUGUGCAGGAUUGUCGCUUUAAUGCGGUACAUUUUCUGUUGGCAAUUACUGGUGUCCUAUGCAUGAAGGAGGCUGUGAAUGUGUAUGCAGCUGAACUUUGUGUACGGUUUUGGUUUUAGUCAAGGGUGAGGUGUUUGAGAGUAACAGUGUGAGAGGGACUAUAAAGCUGUUGCCAUUGCACAUCCAUCCACCCACGAUUCCAGUACAUUGUUAUUGCAGAGAAAAGCACACACAUAUUUACAUUAUGCCAAAAAUAUCCACAGCAGUUUAAAUGAUUUAAAAAAUGCAUAAUAUCCACAACAGCAAAGUCCACUAACACAAUGCACAUUAAGGCAGGCAGUUAGAAUGAUCACCUUUACAGUCUAAUAGUGUGUUAUUUCAUAAUUCUUAGUUAAUUGGCUCCCAGUAUGUUUCCGAGCACAAUUCAAAGUGUUGAUGUUGACCUUUACAGCCCUAAACGGCCUCAGUCCAGUAGACCUCAACAAGCAUCUCCACCCACAUUGUUCAGCCCGGACACAGAGGUCCAGCUCCGAGGGCCUUCUUGUGGUUCCCUCCGUCCGAGAAGUGAGGUUACAGGGAACCAGGCAGAGGGCCUUCUCAGUAGUGGCACCCGCCCUGUGGAACACCCUCCUAUCAGAUAUCAAUGAAAUAAACAACUAUCUGACUUUUAGAAGACAUCUGAAGGCAACCCUGUAUUGGGAAGCUUUUUAAGGUUUAAUGUUUUAUCUUGUUUUUAAUAUUCUGUUGGGAGCCGCCCAGAGUGGCUGGGGAAACCCAGCCAGAUGGGCAGGGUAUAAAUAAUAAUUAAUUAUAAUAAUAAUUAUAGUUAUUAUUAAUGUUAGCUGCACCAACAGUGCAUGCUGCUGCAGCAUGGCUUACUAUCUCCUUAGGUGCCAAUCAGCAAAACGAAUUAAAGCCCUGUUAUAAAGCAUAUGCUCUCCUUUUUUGAAACAAUGCCUUUUCGAAUACGAAUACAGUGGUACCUUGGGUUAAGAACUUAAUUUGUUCUGGAGGUCCGUUCUUAACCUGAAACUGUUCUUAACCUGAAGCACCACUUUAGCUAAUGGGGCCUCCCGCUGCCGCUGUGCCACCGCCGCCUGAUUUCUGUUCUCAUCCUGAAGCGAAGUUCUUAACCCGAGGUACUAUUUCUGGGUUACCAGAGUCUGUAACCUGAAGCGUCUGUAACCCGAGGUACCACUGUAGUUCAUCCAUGUUCUCAUUUGCAUCAUAGGGGAAUAGUUCUAUGAGUGCUUCUGGUCAGUUCAAGAAAUCUCAAGUUUCUUCAGCUUUGCUUCCUCCCCCUCAAAGAAGUGUUAUGCAAUUAAUCAAGGGAAUAUUCCACACUGCUGGCAGGUAUUUCAUUCUCAGCCUGGAAGUGUGGCAAUGAAAUCGGAGAAAAUGGGAAGAAGAGUCAGCCUGUGAACAUGUAUGCUGUCAAUCAUACAUACUUAGUUGCUGAGUUCACACUGCAUGGAGUUCAUUGGUUAUCUUUCACUGCCACCUAAUAUUUUCCAGUGGGGAUCUGAUAACUAUAUCUGACCACACUUCCAUACCCUUCAACAUUUCUCUGAUGAAAAUAGGUACAUCCUACUCCAUAACAACAACAACAACAAUUUUAUUAUUUAUAUUCAUCCAUCGGGGUGCCAACUUGAAUGUCAAAGGUCACCUGUCUGUGGCAUGAUGGGUAGUAGAAGCCCAUUUUCAUGCUGCAAAUACUGAACAGCAUUUCAUCCUCUCUACUCACUGUGUGUGCCAUAUCCCAGGAAAGAGUGAAGUAGGCUUAACAAAUUUCUACAGAACUAGAUCACUGUAUUAUUUUUAAAAAUUUGGUCAAUUUGCUUGCUGGCCUGCGAACCUGAGCUGACUAAAACAGCCCGUAUUGUUUUCCAAGUGCUCACCUUUCAGAAUCACCACAUCCAUCACAAAAGGGGAAAAAAACUAUGAGAGGAAAACUAUCGUAGACUUGUUGCCCGAGCUCAGAGACAAAACCUCCAGUGUUCGAAUGCUCUUGGUCGCUGCUAGCCUUUGGCAUGAAGGAGCACAUGAAAGGAAACACAAAGUGGAUUAAGUAUGAUGGCAAAUAAUCUGCAGUGCUCAGUUAGGAAACUUGCUUGUCAUUAUCCUCUGAUUUCGGUUCCAAACCUUGAAACAUUUAUAAGCUGCCUUCUUCUACUACGCUUUGCCACAAUUGCGCGCAAAAUGUAAAAGGAUCUUGGACCAACUAAUGUAAAAGGGGAAACCAUGAACACCAAAAGAUAGAUAUCUCCUUGAGUCAUCCAUGUGGUCUGCCAGUCAUUCCUCAUCACCAAACAGUUGUUCCUCACUCCCUUCUCAAGUCUUUCCUUAUUACUGUGGUGCGCCUUACCCAGGUUGGAUAAGUUUUAUGUGUCCAUAAGACGACAACAGCCAAGGAACAUCUUAUCAGCCAGGACUCUUGUGAUGUAUCUUGGGUUUUUGUUCUUUGGUCUCCUUGUGAUUCAAGGGAAAUCUUUAGCCAGUGACUUCACAGAAGGGAUGCGGGUGGCACUGUGGUUAAACCACAGGGCCUAGGACUUGCCGAUCAGAAGGUCGGUGGUUCGAAUCCCCGCGACGGGGUGAGCUCCCGUUGCUCAGUCCCUGCUCCUGCCAACCUAGCAGUUUGAAAGCACAUCAAAGUGCAAGUAGAUAAAUAGGUACCGCUCUGGUGGGAAGGUAAACAGCGUUUCCGUGUGCUGCUCUCGUUCACCAGAAAUGGCUUAGUCAUGCUGGCCACAUGACCCAGAAGCUGUACGCCGGCUCCCUCAGCCAAUAAAGCGAGAUGAGCACCGCAACCCCAGAGUCGGUCACGACUGGACCUAAUGGUCAGGGGUCCCUUUACCUUUAUCUUCACAGAAGGGAGAUCUUUCUGUCUUCAUAGAUUUGUUUCAGCAUUCAGGGAGAAAAAGGGGCUGUGGCGCUGCUUCAAGACUGCCUGCCAACUAGCUGCCCCACUCCUUCUACCUGUCCUAGUUUGUUUUUCUUUUCCCUGUUGGGAAAGCCACCUUCACUGCAUAAUGGUCACUAGCAGAAUUUCCACUUCGUGUUCAUGCUUAAACUAUGUAGGCAGUAUAUGCACAGUAGGGGAGUUAGGCUGUUGGUUUUAUCCAGUGUACCAUUUUACGCACUUUUCAUCUCCCCUAGCUGCAACAAAACAUGUCUCUCCCAUAUCAGUCUCUACAGCCACAGAAGCUUGACUUCACCCCCAAUGGCACAGAAGGUUGUGAGAUCUUUUGGAGCAGUCUGUUUUGGGGUGGGGCGGGCAACAAGGGAUGAGGCAAAGGGGAAUGCCACCCAUGAAGUCUUGACUGCAACCCUGGGCUCAUCUGGGAGGACUUGUAGAGUUGAAAGGGAUCCCAAGGGUCAUCUAGUCCAACCCCCUGCAAUGUAGGAAUCUCAGCUAAAGCAGAAUAAAAAUUUAAUAACGAAAUAAAUAAACAGCAAUACCUCAAAAGCCGCCUCUUUCCAUAUAAACCUACCCAGACCCUGAGAUCAUCUUCUGAGGCUCUUCUUCAUGUGCCUCCUUGAGAGAUCCGUAGGGUGGCAACAUGAGAACGGGUCUUCUCUGCAGUGGCUCCCAGUCUGUGGGAGGCUAUCCCCAGGGAAGUUUGCCUGGUGCCUUCAUUAUAUACCUUUAGGUGCCAGGCAAAAAUGUGCCUUUUUAACCAGGCCUUUGGCUGAUCUGAUUGACAUCCUAUGCCCAUUUUUUGGGGGAGAGAGGGUGUUAUUGGGUUGUUGUUUUUAUUUUGAUUAUAUAUAUAUAUUGUGGUUUUAUAUUUUGAUUUUUGUUCUGUGAUUUUUGUUCCCUGAGACCUCCGGGUGUAAGGUGGAAGAUAAAUAAAAUUUAAUUAAUUAAAUAUUAAACAAAGGUUUUAAAAAAUCCUGUUUGAAGGACAUGUUGACAAGAAAUAUUUGGAUGAAAUGCAGAUGCAUAAUAAAUGCGCGAUCUAGUUGUAUUUAAGCCCUUGUGAAUCCCACGUAUACAAGUGGGAGAGAUCUAGGCAUAUGCUUUAACGCUCCCAAUGAAAAUAGUGUGGGACAACUGCUUUAACUGUCUAAGGCAAAGUUUGUUUUUUAUCUUUACAAGCCUGGCGCAUACAUUUUUAAUCUCCUGGAAAUAAACAAUUACAACAAUGCACUGUUCUUUUUUAAAAUGUACAUUCACAUUAUUUAAAAACAACCCUUCGAUAUUUUCCCGCCUUAAAGUAGAUCUUUUCUCUUUUCUCUUACCCAAGCAAGUUUGCCAAGAACUGGCGCCUAAGAUCUGGAAAUACUUCGCGAUCUUCUCACGAACGCUCUUUAGAAAACUACAGUGCUCGUCAUUCAAAUGCUUUUACGUUUAAACAGAGCUGAAAUGGAGGAACUCAAAGCAAAACGCAAAGGAAGCUGAAACAUAAGCUUAUUCAUUCUGUUGUCCAGUAUGUCGGGGAAAGAGCGAGCGAUAGGAACACUAAUCUCAUUGUUGAUUUACAUCAGAGUCCUUUAACUUCUUAGUCUGGG